rnacentral:snRNA from 1 species
AUGCUUGCUUUGGCAGCACAUAUACUAAAAUUGGAACGAUACAGAGAAGAUUAGCAUGGCUCUUGCACAAGGAUGACAUGCAAAUUCGUGAAGGAUUCUACAUUUUU